GCGGACCGUGGAGGCCGGGUGCAGCCCCGUCGGCUCCGCGCUCUCGGCAGCAAAGGCUUUUCUACGCCCCCCGCCCAUCACUUGGAUCUGGUCUGGGUAAGGGGGGGGAUUUUUUUCUGGAAGUCCCCCCACCCCCGGUGAAGGAUUUGAGGCUGGGCUCCAGUCGAGGCGGAGGUUGCAGGGCCCGGGGGGGGCGCCCCCCGCCCCGCGCACGCCUCCCCAGAGCCCUGGAAGGCGCAGCCCCGAGGGGCCCCCUGCACCCCCAGAGGAUGCAGCGGCGGGCCGCCCUGAGGAUGAAAUGAACGUCCGUAGAUAAAGACAGUGGCCGGCAUCGACCAUCUGCUAAGUCUUAGCGAUUAUCUAAGAAUCAUAAACCUGCGCUCUUCUCAUGGGAUGAAAUGCCGUCGUCACCGCAGGCUGAGAGCAGCAGCACUGUUGCUGAGCCCGCCCUCCCCUCGCAGCGCUUUACCUGCCUCAUCUCACUUGCCGCAACCAGCCCUCAGACUCAACCCAAGAAUUCACCUAGAGGUUCAGAGCCUGCAGUGUGUGUUGGAAUGGCACUGAAAGGAUGCACUUAUACUAACGGAACCUUGUCAUGAAGGGGAAUGCAACACGGCUGAGAAGGAGGGAAACAGUGGAAGAGAGGGACUCACUGAAGAGAGAAGAUACGGACUUUGCAGCACCUCCUGUUCUCUGUGGGAUGUUCAAUGAAUGAGUGAAUGUUCAUUCAUUCAAUUAUUUGAGUGCUUAUACAUAAGAGGCUGAGUACCAGGCAUGAGCGAAAUAGUAGCCACAAGACAGACACAGUUCCUACCCUUAGGGGCAGGAGAGGCGCUCAUUAACCAAAGAGGAAGAAAACAUUUUACAUUUGAUUAAAAUAAUAUAACAACAAUAGCAAAAAACAACUACAACAACAGGUCUGAGUAAAUCCUGCUGGCGGCUUUGGGGUUUAUAGACAGUGGCUCUUAAAGCAAAGCCCAACUCAGGAUUGUGGCAAUUCUCAGCAGGGUGAAUAUGGAAGCAGCACGGCCAGGAGACGCCUCCAGAGGAGCUAUUGCCAAGUGCCCUUCUCAAAGGUGGUAUCGUUCACACGCCAAUCAACAAUGCAAGUGAGAGUGUCUGUUUCCAACACCCUCGCCCACCCUGGCAAGAAUGCGGCCUGUCAGGAGGAAGCAAACUCAGAUAAACCUGCCUGUAAUUUCAGCGAAUGAAACGUGGAACAUGUAAAGGCCAAAAGAUGGAAAACACUCCGGUUUCGGUAAAAGGAGGUCUGCUCGGCUUGGAAUCCUCCAUCCUGCUAGUCAGGAGACGCAAAGAUUUAUCCAGAGAGGGGCUGAUGAAUUGAGGAAACAGAAAUGAGGCCAGUGAGACUCAACAGGGAGCUCUGCUUUUACAAACAGGCUUUCUCACACUGUCAUGCAAGAAAGGAGAUGUGGAUGUCAGAGCACAGAGAUGAAGUGAAAAACCUGGAGUCCCCAGUUUGAAUGGGACGCAUCAGUAUUCUGCCUUACAAAAUAAAGCACGUGUUUCCUACCCCUGUCCACUGAAAAAGUUAGAAAUAAUAGGCAGUUCUGCCACAAUGGGCACUCCCAGCACCCCCACUGUGGUCUCUAAACCCCACUUCUAACUAGAAGUGCUCUGUGGACAUAGGGCCGAUUCCAGGUCUGAGGCAGGAAAUGUGCAAGAUGAACUUGGAACACCUUAUCCAAGUGGCUCAGAAGCUGUUAUGGGGACAGGUCAAAAAGGAGGCAGGAAGACAACGUGAAGAAGCUCCCACUGGACAGCGACUGGACAUUUUGAGCAUGAAUAAGAAUAAUAACUGCAGUGGAUGGAAAUGUGUUAUGUAUGUCCAAAUCUACAAGUUCACAAUGAUACUUAGAAAAACAGGAAAACAUAAACUCCUUUGUCAUCUUUGAAGGAUGUUGGGACCAGUGUUUUUGGGGUUUGUUUGUUUGUUUUACUUUUUGGGGGGUGGGGGGCUUGCAGGAUCUCAGUUCCCAGACCAGGGGUUGAACCCGGGCCACGGUAGUGAAAGCCUGGAAUCCUAACCACUAGGCCACCAGGGAACUCCCUGGGACCAGCUUCUUAUUUUGAAAACUGCUAAAUAAAGGGGAAAGAGCCAAACAUGUAUCCUUUCUGGGAUGAACCAUAGUCUUACAGUAACCAAAUGGCCGAUGAGGGGAAGUUUCUUUAUAGACGUACUCCAGCUGACAGACAAAGGCAGGAGGAUAGAAUUAGUGAGCCACCAUUUGCAACCUCUAAUGCGUCUAGACAGUGAUCAUCAAUGGUUGCUAACCUCAUGAAGAGCGACAACCACACAUUAUGUGCCUUCAAAUAGAAAUACAGAACAGCCUCUGGGAAGUAGUCAUACAAACACAAAGAAACAAACAUGAAUCCAAGUGAACUUCUGGAUCUAACUACUGAUUUACAAGAAACAGAGUGGGGAGAGGCACAUGUGUAACACCAGCACGGGGAGGCAGUAAACAAAACCCAGACUGGGACACUCUAUAGCAGCGGUCCCCAACCUUUUUGGCACCAGGGACCAGUUUCAUGGAAGACAGUCUUUCCACGGGCCAGGGGCAGCGGGGGUGGUUCAGGCGGUAACGCAGGUGAUGGGGAGCGGUGGGGAGCGGCAGACGACAAUUCGAUCACUCACCUCCUGCUGUGUAGUAGCGGUCCGCAGCCCAGGGUUUGGGGACCCCUGCUGCACAGAACAACCAGCCCAGUUUCCUCAAGAAAUAAAUUGCAAGAGAAGAAAAAGGGAGGGAGAGAGGGAGAACCUGCAGACUAAGCAAGGCGUAAGAGGCAUAUCAACCAGUCACAAUGUAUGAACCUUAUAUGAAUCCUGACUUUAACCAGCUGUAAAGAAAACAGUUAUGAGACAAGCAGAAAAUUUUGAACACCAGAUACUUGCUGAUACUAAAGCAUUCGUAUUAGUUUUAGUAGGGGUGAUGGUGUUUAAAAAAAAAAAAGAUCCUUUUGUUUUGGAGUCAUAAACUAAAAUAUUUGCAGAAGAAAUGGUUGACGUCUGGAAUUUGUUUCUAAGUAUCUGGGGUGAGGGAGGCGGGGAAGGGGGUCUAGGUGGAACAAGGCUGGCCGAGAGUUGGUGGUUACUGAAGCUGGGUGAUGGAUACCUGGUGUUUAUGGUACCGUGUACCUCUACUCUUGUGCACACUUGUGUACUGGUUUGACCUGUCCACCCAUUGCUGGCAUCUCUGGGGCAAGCCUGAGUAGCAGGCUUGAGAUACAUCUCAGCUCAUGCAUGUGUGCAUACCCUCUCCUGUCUCCAUGGCAACCAAGGAGGUGAGAAAGCAGCAUCCAGAAGGUCCACAUGAGUAUCGGGCCAGGCUGCUGGUGUUAUGCUCGGCCCACCAUAGCUGCUCCCUUUGGAGAAUUCCUAGUCAGAUCUUCACAGUCCCACCCACCCCCACCAGAUCUGCCUCCUUGCACCCCUUUGCUAUCACUUGUGCCCUCCCUAUGCACCCUCUGAGGAUGUAGAGGCCAAUUAGUGGAGAGAACAGGACCCUGAAUCAGAUCCAGGUUCAAUUUUUAACUUCUCCACUUAAUGGCAGGACCUUUAACCUCCCUGUGCCGCGAUUUUCUCACCUGUAAAAUGGGUAUGAUGUGACCUCAGUGAACUCAACAAAUCUUUAUUACAGGGGGACAGUGGCAAAAAGGACCUAGGCUCCACCUCAGGGAACUAGACACCUGGAGGUAAAAGGCAGUCUGAAGAGUAUGUACUGUGAUAAAGUACGUGUUUAAAAAAGUUUUUUUUGGAAAUUGGCAGUCACUACUUAGGAAAUAUCAUAACUCUUAAUCAUACCUUUUAUUAACCAGGAUAUCCACACUUUGUAACUACUGAGUAUCUAGCUGUGCCAGACCUAUAGAAUAUUCUCACUUAACUGAGUGCUCAUAUUUCCGUGAAGUAAGUACUAUGCUUCCUAGUAUUUUAUGGAGGGGGAAACUAGGCAUUAGAGGUGAGGAAGCUUGCCACAGCUGCACUGUGGGUGCAUGGCCCUGUCUUCUUUACUCGGCCCUGGGCACUGAUUAAGCUCUAAAAUGCAGCAGCAGGGCCAGGAAACCGAAACUUCCAUGAGACCAAAAACUCUCCAGGGCAAACUCCACUUUGCAAAUGAGGAAACUGUGGCCCAUAGAGGCCAAGUAACUUGUUCCAAGCCACACGGAGAAUUGGCAGCUUAACCUGUGUCCAUGCUGCUUGGGGAGAAGGUUCAGGGAAGCCCCACGUGGUAAGGGAGGCUGCUUACUGCGCCAUUUCAUCCUGUCCCAGGGUGGGGUGAGCAGCCAGCCUGAGGUUUCCAGGGACUGGGAACUUUAGGUGCUUAAAUCAGGAAAGUCCUGGGCCAACGGGGAUGAGCUGAUCACGCCAUCUCACAGCGAGGUGUCUCAGUGGCUGUUUUCUAGGACAUGAGAUCAGUACCAAGUCUUCACCUAAGUAGUGGGGGUUCAAGCCUUAUAUAAUUAACUGAUUAUUAAUAUCUAGGCUCCUCCAGCCCAGCUAGACUCUCCACCCACAGGGGCAGGGACCAGUGUGUGAUGUUCAUUUCCGUUUUUACAGCCUCCAGCCCAGCUAGACUCUCCACCCACAGGGGCAGGGGCCAGUGUGU